CAUUGCUUUAUGCGAGAGUUGGAGGUCCUCCAGAAAUCGGUCACUGUACGUCCGUACCGAAAUAUGUAUGCGGCGCGUUGUGGUGGGCCAACGAGACGGGGCAUGGUGACCAGAAGUAACGCGCGGUUGAACGGCAAUUUGCCACCGACGAGUGUUCCAAGGAUCAGAAUCGGGGCCGCCGUCUGAUCCGUGGAUCGGAAAGUUAGCUUUGCCGUCUUGCCACUGUAGAGUCGAAUUGAAUGCUGGGUCCAGCGUCUUCUCUUGCAGAAGCGAGUGGCGAGGUGAAGACUGCGAGGUCAAUGUCAGGAGCGGCAGCGGCGAUCCACCAUGGAGUUUUUGACGCAACCUAACGGCAGAUCUGCUCUGCUUGAGGAGGUGGGUGAGAGUUUUGUGCCUGGCCCUCAAGUUGGGAUUGGUGGUGCGCUGGCGGAGACGGUCGUGUCGCAGCAGCAUCAGCCUGCCAUGCCACAGCAGCACGUGCCGGCGGCAAACGGAGAAGCGCAGAUCUGGUCGACCAAGGAGGACGGAGCGGCAAGAAGGGAGAGCUCUCCUCCGACGUCUAAGCUGUCGACGAGGAAGAUGAAUCCCAGGCUCUCCAAUUGAAUACGAGGCUGAGAAUUGGUGCUACUGCACCAAGCAGAGCACCGUGCCUGACUCGAGUCAGUGCGUUUGAGAAAGCUGUUAGGUGUUUUGCAAAGAAGCCGUCUGAAAAUGUGAUCACGCCCAUUCUUGGCACUACAUUCGACUCGUCGGGUGAGGCCUACGACUUCUACAAUCUGUAUUCAUGGGAAAGGGUUUUGGCAUAAGGUACGGAAAGAGCCGGCUAAAUGUUGAGAGAAAUGGGCUAAGCCAUAUUUCAAUGGUGUGUUUUGUGCGAUGAUGACCAGCACACAGAGGAGUGAGAGCGCGAACCAUAUGUUAAAAAAUUAUGUGCCUCCUGCUGUGUCCCAUGCAUAUGUUUGUGCAGAAGUAUAUGAAAAUAUGAUGCUCCUUUCUGACAGAGAAUCCUAUAAGAACUAUUAGGAGAAACGGUCGAGAAUUGUAAGGAUGUUAUCUGUUCAUCCGUACGCAUGUUUUCCAUGUUUCUCCAGAAUGCUUGGCUGCGCAUUGGUGCAUACAAAAGUAGAAUCUUGUUGAUGUUGUUUGAGAAAAUUGCAGGGGAGACUGUUGAUGGGGCCGAACCUUGCAGUGGAGAGGCAUGCCAGCAAAAUAUACACUAGGGCUAUAUUUGAGCAAUUUGAACACAUACUGUACGAGUGCGGGGCUUAUCAGGUUGAAGAAGUUGAAAAACAUAAGACAUACAUCGUGAUCCAUAGUGAAGCAGAGAAAAGGGAGAAGUGGUCAAAAAUUUUGUACAAGGUUACAAUGCUUGAUGGGGGCAACUGAGUUAGACUGCGAGUGUGCGCAAUUUGCACACAAGGGGCUGUUGACUGUUGUGUAGCCAUGUACUCAAGGUGCUAGAUUUUAUUGGAGCUAAAGAAAUACCAGCAAAGCAUGUAGUGAAGAGAUGGAUGAGGGAUGCUCGUGAUGUUCUUCCUCCUCAUUAGUCAGGCUCGGCGACACCGGUGUUGCCUACAAGCGGUUGAUGUAACUUUUCUAGUCAAAUUUGGCGGUGAUGUUACUCUAUGCAGAAGUUAGUGAUGGUCUUGGCCUCGAGGAUACACUUGCAGACAGGGGCGCUAUGGUGUGUCAGACACCUGUGGCAGUGGUUGCAGCGGAACAGCAGAUGAAUGUCCAGCAAGCUGUUGCUGAAUAUGUUGAUAAUGAUUCUGUCUCAAUGACAAGCAAUAGGUUGGAAGAAGAUGGGACGGCCUACGACCAGUUGGGAGAAAGCUCCAUAUGAGGGUUUGAGCAGGAGGACUAGGUUUUGCACGAUAUGCCGAAGACAGGGGAACUACAUGCCUGGACCACAGUGAUGUUCAUAAGCAACCUCGGAAGCCUGCCAGAUGCAAUAACUGUGGCAUUGAGGGGCACAGGCGAAAGAAUUGUAACAAAGCAAUGGAAUUUAGGUUAGCAAAUGGAAUGUAGUUGUAAAAUGUCUUCGCAUAUGAAAUGAUGAGACCCAUGAUGGCUUCUCUAAAAUCUUCAAUGCCAACAGGUAUGUGGUCAAUAUUCAGGUGCUGUAUGCUUUUGCUAACUCUGGAACUUGGCUACUGGCUGAGUAAUGUAACAUGUCAAAUUAUGUUUUAGCUUGUCAUGUCAGAUUUA